CACGUAGGGCGCAAGCGUUGUCCGGAAUUAUUGGGCGUAAAGAGCUCGUAGGCGGUCUGUCACGUCGGCUGUGAAAACCCGAGGCUCAACCUCGGGCCUGCAGUCGAUACGGGCAAACUAGAGUACUGCAGGGGAGACUGGAAUUCCUGGUGUAGCGGUGAAAUGCGCAGAUAUCAGGAGGAACACCGGUGGCGAAGGCGGGUCUCUGGGCAGUAACUGACGCUGGAGGAGCGAAAAGCGUGGGGAGCGAACAGG
rnacentral:rRNA from 1 species